rnacentral:misc_RNA from 1 species
AACAUCGCGCACCUGCGGGAACCUGCGGAGGGAUCAUUACUGAGUCACGUGCUCAAACAACCCUUCUGUGGACCUGAAAUAAAACCGUUGCCCCGGCGGGCGGUCCCCCCCAAACCAACCCCACGUGGUGGGUUAGGGGAGACCAGACAGUCCGGUACGCUUAAGGCGUCCGGCGCCAGCCGCUGGCCCCAAACAAUUAAACUCUAGUAAUCUUUACCUUCUGAGUUUCAAUAUUUAAAA